rnacentral:ribozyme from 1 species
UAAUAAAUACCCACAACACAGAAAGAAGAAAAAGAAGAAGAAAGGAAAGAAGUGAAAGAAGAUAUCUUAAUGUACUUUUAUAGCAUAAGAAAUAUAUCCAUUAGCCUUACAUACUUUUUUGUUUUGAUAUUUUUACCUCAUUUUUU